AGCAUUGUUUUUAGUUUUCAAUUAUUCUCUCAUAGUAUCAGAGCAUUAGCCUUGUGUCUCUUGAUAAGCAUAUAUCCUUCAAUGGAACCAGCAUGGAGAAUCCCUUCCGAAUCUCAAUAAGAGCCAAAAAGUGAUUAUAAAGUAAGCCAUUGAUGCUUCAGCUCUGCAGAACUUCGAUCAUCCUCUUAUCAUGAGAUCCAUAAUUAUUGCUCUGAGACUUGAGAGCCAAGCACUAGUUAGGAGUGACAAGGUCAUCAUGCAAAAAAUUAAUUCAGAUAUGUUUGGCAAGUGAUAAAAUGUUGAUAACAUGCUUCUCUUCGUCAACCGUCCAUGUGGCAGCAGAAGUAAGGAAUUCACCGGAAAGAGUGGACGAUCUCUGUUUGUUGAAUAUCCGAGUUGAGCUGCUGGGCAAACAACAAAAACUUAUUUGUGAAGAUUCAAUCCAAUAAUAAUUCAAGAAGACCAGACCAGCAGAAAGGCGUUCCUAAGCCUGAGUAAUGAGUUCUUUGCUUUAUCCUAUGUGAAUUGCAAUGGUUAUAUCUAAUGACAAUUUUUAUAUAUUUUCUCUUCGAUUUAACACUGAAACCGUAAUCUGAAAUGCAC
rnacentral:lncRNA from 1 species